AGAGGACAGAGGACACACAGUUUAACAUGAUGGACUAUAGGACAGGACUGCUGCUGCUCACUGUCUGCUGGGCAGGUGUUGAUGGUCAGACUCUGACAGAAUCUGAACCAGUGACUAAAAGGCCUGGAGAAUCUCACAGAUUGACCUGUACA